AGGCCACCUUCAGCUUCUAGAGGCUGCACAGAAUUUCCUGCCACAUGGCCCGCUCCAUAGGCAGAUAAAAACAUGGCAGCUUGCUUUCUUAAGGCCAGCAAGAGAGGGAGAGAGUCUGCUAGCAAGAGGUAAUGGUAGAUAAUGUAAUCAAAAGAGUAACCACCAUCAUUUUGCUGUAUUCUAUUGGUUAGAAGGCAGCCAUGGAUUCCACCCACACUCAAGGAAGGGGAUCACACAGCAGCAUGAACACCAGGAGAGAGGAUCAUGAGGCCACCUUACAGUCUGUCUUCCACAAGGACUCAUCACCUAGGGAUAUAUGCCCUUGAAACAAAUGGAAAUAGACUCCCACAGGCUGAGGACAAAAGCACAGGAUCAACUAAGAUGCUAUCCAGGUGAAAGUGGAUGAGGGUAAGUUUGGGAUGGUGGCCAUGGAGAAGGAGAAGCCAUGUUCUGAAUAUAUUUUGAAAGCCGGGCCAACGUGAUUUGUUACAGGUUGGAUGUAGAACAUGAGGAAAAAUGAGGAGUCAAGGUUUAUCUCAGAUUUUUGUGCUGAACAACUGGAAGGAUGGAGUUGCCGUUAUCUGAGGUGGGGAAGAUUGAGGGAGAAUAUCAGGGGCCCUGUUUUGGAUACAUUUGAGCUGCCAGCCAUUUGAUGGCAGAUAAGUUAUGCUACGUACACUCAACCCUGGAAGGAGGAGUGAUUCAUCUUUAAUGGAACUGCCAUCUAUACCAGAUUUGGGUUUGCAUUCCACACCUGCAGCACAUCUGCAAGCAUUACUGCUUGAGCGCUGAGUGCUUCAUUUAUAGGCAUCAGAUUCCAGAUUCCACGGUAUUGCCUCAGAGGACCCAUUUAUGGCAAAGGAAGUAUGAGAUACAGUGGUUCUCCUUAUACUUCCCAUUACCUGGAAGCAGUAAGAAUGUUGGAAUGACAUAGUAAAGGUUCCAAAAGGGUGUGAGCUUGGGGAUGCUGUCUUUCAGGAUGGAGUCUAUGCACUGAGCUACUGGCUGAUAUAGAGUGUUGUGUCUCUGACAGUCAGACUUCAUGGGUCCAAGAAUUAAGGGGUAAAAGAAGGAUUGGCCCUUUCAACAUCACUCACAGUGACUCACCAAUCUUGCAAGUCUAAGCUCCAAUGGAUAGAAAAUUCUUGUUCUCAGCAGAACAUUGCUUCAACCUGGGCACAGUAAGAUGUCCAUGGAAACUAAAGCAAGUCUGAAGCCUGGACAAUUUGGUCUCUUCAAGAGGAGAUAACAGCAGGCAAAAGAAGUUUCUAUAUGAACAUGGGAAAUCAAUUCUAUUAUCAUGAACAGCUACUUAUUGUUCCUGCUACUAUGCAACCUGGAGGACCAUAUCUGGAACCCAGGGAAUUCAUGGGGGCAUCUCAUAAGUGCUCCAGGAUGGGUGAAUCUGUGAAAAAGUCGACCCAAUGUGGACAUAAGUAGAGCUGAGAUCUGCAAGAGAUUGGCCAGCAGACAUGGGCGGUGCCCCACAUCAUGCCCUGCCACCCACCCUGAUUUCAGCAGCAGCAGUCUCAUGCUCAGAUGUCUCUGCUUGGGGAAACCAUGUUGUGAGCAAACCAACAGUGGGGGCCGUGUGGAGAGGAAGCCUCCUGCCAACGCCUUGCAAGUGAGCUUGCAAGUGGAUCCUCCAGCCCGAUGUCAAGAAUUCAGAGAGUAUGGCCUCAGCCAACAGCCUGAGAAACCCUGGCCCAGACCAUCCAGCCGGGUCAUCGCAGAUUCCCAACCCUCAGACAG
rnacentral:lncRNA from 1 species